rnacentral:lncRNA from 1 species
UGAUGAUUUUAAUGUAAUAAAAUAUAAUAUGAAGUCGGUAUUAUUGCUUGGUAAAAAUAAAGAAAAAAAAGAAAAAAAAGAGAGAAAAGUGGAAUGAAGCAUGAGUAGUCAGAAAUAUAUAUCUGUAUUGACAUGCAUAUUGCAUCAAGUGUCUUGUUAUGUUUUUCAUCUCUAAGGGGUAUUUGUUCCCCUAGCCCUUCAGGGUAUCUGUUUCCCUCUCCCCUAUUUGGUUUGCAAAGAUGUAAAGAGACCGUUCCCAGUGGAUGAUAUCGUACCCUCUAAAGAGAGUGGUAACGCGAAUAUAUGUUAGGAGUCACUCUUUGCUAAGUACUGUCGUAAUUGUAGAUAUCUGAUAUGGCCACUAUGGUUGGUAUGGUCGUAGUCGUAGAUCAUACCAUGGUUUGUCCAGCCAGAAAUGGGCCUGAGUAAAUUGCCAUAUCUGUAUAUGAUAUUGUCAUUCCACUUAGAUAGUUGGAAAUUUGUAUCUGCCUUUA